GAUGAACGCUGGUGGCGUGCCUAAUACAUGCAAGUCGAGCGAACAGAUAAGGAGCUUGCUCCUUUGACGUUAGCGGCGGACGGGUGAGUAACACGUGGGUAACCUACCUAUAAGACUGGGAUAACUUCGGGAAACCGGAGCUAAUACCGGAUAACAUUUGGAACCGCAUGGUUCUAAAGUGAAAGAUGGUUUUGCUAUCGCUUAUAGAUGGACCCGCGCCGUAUUAGCUAGUUGGUAAGGUAACGGCUUACCAAGGCGACGAUACGUAGCCGACCUGAGAGGGUGAUCGGCCACACUGGAACUGAGACACGGUCCAGACUCCUACGGGAGGCAGCAGUAGGGAAUCUUCCGCAAUGGGCGAAAGCCUGACGGAGCAACGCCGCGUGAGUGAUGAAGGGUUUCGGCUCGUAAAACUCUGUUAUUAGGGAAGAACAAAUGUGUAAGUAACUGUGCACGUCUUGACGGUACCUAAUCAGAAAGCCACGGCUAUCUACGUGCCAGCCGCCGCCGUAA
rnacentral:rRNA from 1 species